GGCUUGUUUUCCAUCCUGCUCUUGAGAGGGGGUGAAACCUUUGAGAAGUUGGGUCUCGUGUUAGGGCAUUAAGUCACUGGGGACACACCCUAGCAGGGUAUAUCUCGACCCUGACCUCCCCUCUCCCUUUGUAUCCUAGCUGCCACGAAGUGAGCAAGUCUCCUCCACUGUCCACUCCCCUUAUGAUGUAAUAUGCUACCACAGGCCCAAAGCAGCAAGACCGGCUGGCCCUGGAAACCUCCGAAGCCACACACCUGAACAAAGCUUUCCUACUUUAAAGUUGAUUUCACUUGGGUGCUUGUGAGCACAGCAAUGGAAAGCUGACCAAACAGCACCUCACUGAGCCUCGCUUUCCUGUUUUUACCGAAGGCCCAGCUGACUAAAGACACCACAUUCUUCCCUUAAGAGUGGGACAUCCUGUGCCAACCACUAUGAUGGGCGACUUUAUCACCAAGGUAACUCUGGCCAAGUCACAUGAGCUCCUGAGGCCUCAGCCUCUGCAUCUAUGACAUCAGAAUGACCCCUGGCUUGCCUUGUACACUAGGUGGCCACAAGACUUUGAGGACACAGAGAAUGGAGGAGCACAUUGGAGGAAGAGCCCAGCUGGACAGGAUGAUGGCAGCCUGCCCCUCUGGGAGCAAGUACUGAAGUACAACAAACAGGCCGGCCACCAUGAGAGACAGAAUGAUGUCCCCCGGCCCCACCCAAUGUGUCCACACCCUAGUCCCUGGAAGCUGUCACUGCGUAAGGUCACAUGGUAAAUGGCAGGUGAAGCAGCUGGUGGAAAUGAAGUUGCCUAUCAGCCAAUCUUAAA